GAUGAACGCUGGCGGCGUGCCUAAUACAUGCAAGUCGAGCGAACGGACGAGAAGCUUGCUUCUCUGAUGUUAGCGGCGGACGGGUGAGUAACACGUGGAUAACCUACCUAUAAGACUGGGAUAACUUCGGGAAACCGGCGCUAAUACCGGAUAAUAUUUUGAACCGCAUGGUUCAAAAGUGAAAGACGGUCUUGCUGUCACUUAUAGAUGGAUCCGCGCUGCAUUAGCUAGUUGGUAAGGUAACGGCUUACCAAGGCAACGAUGCAUAGCCGACCUGAGAGGGUGAUAGGCCGCACUGGAACUGAGACGCGGUCCAGACUCCUACGGGAGGCAGCAGAAGGGAAUCUUACGCAAUGGGCGAAAGCAUGACGGAGCAACGCCGCGUGAGUGAUGAAGGUCUUCGGAUCGUAAAACUCUGUUAUUAGGGAAGAACAGAUGUGUAAGUAACUGUGCACAUCGUGACGGUACCUAAUCAGAAAGCCACGGCUAACUACGUG
rnacentral:rRNA from 1 species